GUGAGUCAUCGAAUCUUUGAACGCACAUUGCGCCCUAUGGUAUUCCGUAGGGCAUGCCUGUCUGAGCGUCAACUCCCACCCUCUCAAGUCUUUCUUUUGUUAGGACGACUUGGAUUGCUUUGAGGAAGUAUCAAAAAAAAAAAACUUUUUGCUGCUCCUCAGAAAUUCAUAGGCAGUAUGGUCAAACCUGAACCAGGCGUAAUAAUUCUAUAAAAUCGUCUAAUGAAGGAAAAUCUGUAUUAGUCUUUAACCCCCUCAUUUUUUAUUUUGGGUGACCUCAGAUCAGGUAGGGAUACCCGC
rnacentral:misc_RNA from 1 species